rnacentral:rRNA from 1 species
GAUGAACGCUGGCGGCGUGCCUAAUACAUGCAAGUCGAGCGAACAGACGAGGAGCUUGCUCCUUCGACGUUAGCGGCGGACGGGUGAGUAACACGUAGGUAACCUACCUAUAAGACUGGGAUAACUUCGGGAAACCGGAGCUAAUACCGGAUAAUAUUUCGAACCGCAUGGUUCGAUAGUGAAAGAUGGCUUUGCUAUCACUUAUAGAUGGACCUGCGCCGUAUUAGCUAGUUGGUAAGGUAACGGCUUACCAAGGCAACGAUACGUAGCCGACCUGAGAGGGUGAUCGGCCACACUGGAACUGAGAUACGGUCCAGACUCCUACGGGAGGCAGCAGUAGGGAAUCUUCCGCAAUGGGCGAAAGCCUGACGGAGCAACGCCGCGUGAGUGAUGAAGGUCUUCGGAUCGUAAAACUCUGUUAUUAGGGAAGAACAAACGUGUAAGUAACUGUGCACGUCUUGACGGUACCUAAUCAGAAAGCCACGGCUAACUACGUG